GACGAACGCUGGCGGCGUGCUUAACACAUGCAAGUCGAGCGGUAAGGCCCUUUCGGGGGUACACGAGCGGCGAACGGGUGAGUAACACGUGGGUGACCUGCCCUCAGCUCUGGGAUAAGCCUGGGAAACCGGGUCUAAUACCGGAUAUGACCUCAUGACGCAUGUUGUGGGGUGGAAAGCCUUGUGCGGCUGAGGAUGGGCCCGCGGCCUAUCAGCUUGUUGGUGGGGUGAUGGCCUACCAAGGCGACGACGGGUAGCCGGCCUGAGAGGGCGACCGGCCACACUGGGACUGAGACACGGCCCAGACUCCUACGGGAGGCAGCAGUGGGGAAUCUUGCGCAAUGGGCGAAAAGCCUGACGCAGCGACGCCGCGUGAGGGAUGACGGCCUGG
rnacentral:rRNA from 1 species